rnacentral:sRNA from 1 species
AGCUCCUUAAUAUUGAGAAUAGAAUAAUUGCAAACGAGAAACUCUCAGCCGGCGGGUCCGGCGUUUCAACUCCUGAAC